GCCUAAAUUUAAGCCUAUGUACUCUUAUGAAAAACAUACCCUACUAAGGAUAAAUAAAACAUUUUAUCAGUUUAGUAAAGGCGAUUAAAAAACUUCCUAGCGCUUUAUCUCAAGUACCGCAAGGGAAAAAUGAAAUAGUUCUGAAAUAGCCCUAAAGCAAAACACAGCAGANACACCCCCUCG
rnacentral:rRNA from 1 species